rnacentral:lncRNA from 1 species
CUGGAGUGCAGUGGCGCAAUCUCAGCUCAUUGCAACUUCCGCCUCCUGGGUCCAAAUAAUUCUCCUGCCUCAGCCUCCCUGGUAGCUGGGAUUGCAGGCGCCUGCCACCAUGCCCGGCUAUUGUUUGCAUUUUUAGUAGAGACGGGGUUUUACCAUGUUAGCCAAGCUGGUCUCGAACUUCUGACCUCAAGUGAUCUUCCCACCUCAGCCUCCCAAAGAACUGAGACUACAGGCAUGAGCUACCGCACCUGGCCUGUGAUGCAGACUCUAAAAGACCAACACGUGUGCCUAUUACCAUCACCUCUGUGGAGAAAUGAUGAGAUGACACAGGAUCUCAGCUCAAAUGACUUGCAUGACAGCACAUUCCUUAGAAGGGCCUUGAAGGGCCACAGUCAUGAAUAUGGAGCCGUUACAGUCAUCUUGGGUCCGUUACAGUGAUGGAAGACUUUGUUUUUGCACGCUUUCCAAAAACAGAAAUGUAUGUUGUCAUUUGCUCUGUUCCCUCUCCUCCGGAAGGGAAAGGGAAGAACAUUCUGGAACACUCUGGAAAACUGCGUUGCAGUUAAUUUGCUUACUUUCACACAUUUUCCUGAGCAGGCUGCCCAGUGGGCUCUUGGGAUAGGAAACUGGAGACCAAUGAGGCUGGGCGAUGAGACCUGCACUUGUCACGGCUCGACAACCCAACCUGGGCACUGGAGUGGGGCAACAAGGCAGUUUCCAGGGAGCCAGCAGCAGCCUAGGCAGCAUGCUUCCGUGCCAGCAAGAAUGCUGCUUCCAAUGAAAAGUGACAGGCUCACAAGCCAGGUCACCGCCAGGGAAGCUCCCAGUUCACUGUACGUGGGUGGGUCACAAGUUCCUUGUCACUGUGGGUCGGGGCUGGUGUCAUACUAAAAGGAUCAAUGUCAGCCUGGGUAUUUUUCAGUAGAUCACACGGCUCAGCUCUGAGGUCCAGGAAGAGGGAAAGGAAAAGGCAACAAGAAUAAGAUUCAUCCCGGGGCAACUGCUUUAAUCCACUCCCAAAAUGGUUCAUAAUCCCUCUUUAGUACAGAGCUGAUAAAAAGUGCUGCUUCUCACUGAGCCUCCUCCCUGGGGAUGUGUGAGGAGUAAAGACAGAGCGGCUGCCUCAGGCCCAGUGCUGUGGACAAGGUGCACAGGCAUAGCGAGGCCUGUCUGCAAUCUAGGAUGAGGUGGGGAAGGAGCCUGCAUUGGUUCUGUUGCUGGGCAGCCACCCGUAAAUGGCAGGGGGUCACCAUCCUUCCAGCCCUGCGCAGGGCUGAGUGACAUCCCCAUCCUUCAGAUGAGAAAACUGAGGCUCAGAAAAAUCAUGGGAACUUCCAAAGAUCACACAAGUGCUGCAGCAGUGCCCUAACCAGGCAACUGUGGAUAAAGUCCAAGUCCAAGAAGUGUUGAUGCCUAGGUAUGUCCCUCAAAGGAUCAAAAACAGGGACCAAAACAGACACCUGUACAUAUGUGUUUGCAGCAGCAAUGUUCACAGCAGCCAAAAGGUGGAAACAGCCCAAAUGUCCAUCAGUGGAUGAACAGGCAAACAGCACGUAGCCUAUUCGUAGUGUGGCACAGAAUUCAUCAUAAAAAGGAGUGAAGUACUGAUGCACGCUACAAUGUGGGUGAACUAACAAACAUCAUGCUAGGUGAAAGAAGCCAAGCACUAAAGGUUACAUACUGUAUGAUGUGGUUUGGCUGUGUCCCCACCCAAAUCUCACCCUGAAUUGCAAUAAUCCCCACAAUCAAGGGCGGGACCAGGUAGAGGUGAUUGGAUCAUGGGAGCGGUUUCACCCAUGCUGUUAUUGUGAUAGUGAGUUCUCAUGAGAUCUGAUGGUUUUAUAAGGGUCUGGAAUUUCCCCUGCUUGCACUCACUUCAUCCUGCCACCCUGUGAAGAAGGUGCCUGCUUUUCCUUUGCCUUCAGCCACGAUUGUAAGUUUGCUGAGGCCUACCCAGCCAUGCAGAACAGAGAGCCAAUUAAACCUCUUUCCUUUAUAAAUUACCAGCCUCAGGCAUUUCUUCAUAGCAGUAUAAGAAUGUAUUAAUUGUAUGAUCUCAUUUAUUUGAAAUGUCCAAAACAGGCCAAACUGAAGACACAGGAAGUAGGUAAAUGGUUUCCAGGGGAUG